rnacentral:rRNA from 1 species
ACCCGCUGAACUUAAGCAUAUCAGUAAGCGGAGGAAAAGAAACUAACUAGGAUUCCCCGAGUAGCGGCGAGCGAAAAGGGAGAAGCCCAGCGCCGAAGCCCGCGGCCUCUCGGCCGCCGUGCAAUGUGGCGUUUCGGUGUCGGCAUGCCGCCGGCGUCUCUGGCGCGCGUACCUCUGAAAGGGUCUGCCCACAGCGGGUGUCAGGCCUCUACACGCCAGACGAGACGUCGCGGCUAGCCGUCAUCGCGGAGUCGGGUUGCUUGAGAGUGCAGCCCAAAGUGGGUGGUAAGCUCCAUCUAAGGCUAAAUACCUAGUGCGAGACCGAUAGCAAACAAGUACCGUGAGGGAAAGUUGCAAAGAACUUUGAAAAGAGAGUUCAAGAGUACGUGAAACCGUUCAGAGGCAAACGGACGGAACUGGGCGAGUUCGCCGCCGCCAUUCAGCCGUCGCCAGCGCGGCGACGGUGCACUUGGCGGUGGCGGAGCGCAGCGACCGUCUGUCCGGUCGUCAGAAGCCCGGCGGCAAGGUGGCGACGCGUUCGCGCGUCGUGUUACAGGCCGUCGAGGCGUUGGCUGACUGGGCGGGCGAGGAGCGCCUGCGGUGCACUCCCCCCUUGGGGAGCGGCUCGGCGAUGUGGGCUCGCGGACGCCGGUGGCGAACUGCUCGCAGUUCGUUAUCGCGCGCUCUGCUUGUCUUGCGCGUCGGCGCCGCGAGGCACGCAGGGUCCGGGCUGCGUGGUUCCUGGCACUCCGUCCGACCCGUCUUGAAACACGGACCAAGGAGUUGAGCACGCGCGCAAGUCGAUGGGCUCGAAGAACCCCAGUGGCGCAGCUAAGGCAAAACGGGCGUGAUCCGGGCACUGUUCGUGCCCGGCGCAACGCCGGCCCGCAGGCGACUCGACGCGAGUGCCUGCGGCGCAAGAGCGCGCGCGCUCAGACCCGAAAGGUGGUGAACUAUGCUUGAGCAGGGCGAAGCCAGAGGAAACUCUGGUGGAGGCUCGCAGCGAUCCUGACGUGCAAAUCGGUCGUCAAACUUGAGCAUAGGGGCGAAAGACUAAUCGAACCGCCUAGUAGCUGGUUCCCUCCGAAGUUUCCCUCAGGAUAGCUGGCACUCAGGAUAAAUGGUUUUAUCCGGUAAAGCGAAUGAUUAGAGGCAUUGGGGACGAAACGUCCUCAACCUAUUCUCAAACUUUAAAUGGGUAAGAGGCGCGGCCCUUCCUGAUCGGGGUCGCGUGCUAGAACAGAGAGUGCCCAGUGGGCCGUUUUUGGUAAGCAGAACUGGCGCUGUGGGAUGAACCAAACGCGCGGUUAGGGUGCCGAACGCACGCUCAUGAGAUACCACAAAAGGUGUUGGUUGAUAUAGACAGCAGGACGGUGGCCAUGGAAGUCGGAAUCCGCUAAGGAGUGUGUAACAACUCACCUGCCGAAUCAACUAGCCCUGAAAAUGGAUGGCGCUGUAGCGUGCGACCCAUACCGCGCCGUCGGGGCAACGCGUGCGAAAUGCCAGGCCCCGACGAGUAGGAGGGCGUGUCGGUGGCGUCGAAGCGCGGUGCGCGAGCACGCGUGGAGCCGCCCUCAGUGCAGAUCUUGGUGGUAGUAGCAAGUAUACAAAUGAGAACUUUGUAGACCGAAGUGGAGAAGGGUUCCAUGUGAACAGCAGUUGGACAUGGGUCAGUCGGCCCUAAGAGAUCGGAAAAUUCCGUUCUGAACGGGGGAGGCGCACGCCGCCGUCUAAUCAAGCACAAAGUCGAUGAUAGCACAUGCUGCGCAUUAGACACGUGAAAAGAGCGGCUAACGAGGGUGCGUGACGUCCCCCGAUGCGAUCGAAAGGGAAUCGGGUUAAUAUUCCCGAACCUGGCAGUGGAGAUUGGGCCCUCGGGCCCCAGUGCGGUAACGCAACCGAACUCGGAGACGCCAGCGUCGAUCCCGGGAAGAGUUCUCUUUUCUUUGUUAGGAGCGGACUCCCUGGAAUUGGCUUGUCCAGAGAUAGGGACGUUGCAUCCGUAAAGCGUCGCGCCUCACGCGGCGUCCGGUGCAUCGGCGUUGGCCCUUGAAAAUCCGAGGGAGGCAGUGUGAUUUUCACUCCAGGCCGUACCCGAAUCCGCAGCAGGUCUCCAAGGUGAACAGCCUCUGGUCGAUAGAACAAUGUAGGUAAGGGAAGUCGGCAAAUCCGAUCCGUAACUUCGGGAUAAGGAUUGGCUCUGAGGUGCGGGCUGCUUCGGGUCGCGGCAAGAAGCGGACCGUGCGUUGGUAGGACUGGACGCGUUCGCGCGCGUUCGGACCGCCGCCAGCGCGCGUCCGUGGGAGGCCGUGGCUUUCGCCGGCGUCGGCUUCGCGGCUGGCGUCGGCUUCGUUCGGCCUAAACGCACAGCACAGAACUGGCACGGACUCUGGGAACACGACUGUCUAAUUAAAACAAAGCAUCGCGAUGGCCGCUGGUCGGUGUUGACGCGAUGUGAUUUCUGCCCAGUGCUUUGAAUGUCAAAGUGAAGAAAUUCAACCAAGCGCAGGUAAACGGCGGGAGUAACUAUGACUCUCUUAAGGUAGCCAAAUGCCUCGUCAUCUAAUUAGUGACGCGCAUGAAUGGAUUAACGAUGUUCCCACUGUCCCUAUCUACUAUCUAGCGAAACCACAGCCAAGGGAACGGGCUUGGCAAAUACAGCGGGGAAAG